rnacentral:rRNA from 1 species
UGCCAGACUCCUACGGGAGGCAGCAGUGGGGAAUAUUGCACAAUGGGGGAAACCCUGAUGCAGCGACGCCGCGUGAGCGAUGAAGUAUUUCGGUAUGUAAAGCUCUAUCAGCAGGGAAGAAGAUGACGGUACCUGACUAAGAAGCCCCGGCUAACUACGUGCCAGCAGCCGCGGUAAUACGUAGGGGGCAAGCGUUAUCCGGAUUUACUGGGUGUAAAGGGAGCGUAGACGGCGAUGCAAGCCAGAUGUGAAAGCCCGGGGCUCAACCCCGGGACUGCAUUUGGAACUGUGUGGCUGGAGUGUCGGAGAGGCAGGCGGAAUUCCUAGUGUAGCGGUGAAAUGCGUAGAUAUUAGGAGGAACACCAGUGGCGAAGGCGGCCUGCUGGACGAUGACUGACGUUGAGGCUCGAAAGCGUGGGGAGCAAACAGGAUUAGAUACCCUAGUAGUC